rnacentral:misc_RNA from 1 species
AAGUCGUAACAAGGUUUCCGUAGGUGAACCUGCGGAAGGAUCAUUAACACUUUCAUUUUAUUGAAAAAUUCAUUUUUUCAAUAAUUUACUUUUACCCACAUUUUUGGAUGAAUUAUUUCUUUUUUUAUUUUUUUAUCAUUUUUAUACCCCAAACAAAACUAAUAUACUAUUAUUUCUAACAUUUAUACAAAAAGUUUAAGAAAAAAACAUAAAAAAACAACUCUUAACAACGGAUAUCUAGGCUCUC